GCAGGCAUAGUUUAGUGGUAAAACGACCGCUUCCCAAGCUGUAGAUGCGGGUUCGAUUCCCGUUGCCUGCU
rnacentral:tRNA from 1 species